rnacentral:tRNA from 1 species
GGCCCGUUCGUCUAUCGGUUAGGACAUAGGGUUUUCAACCCUAUAAGAGGAGUUCGACUCUCCUACGGGCUA